rnacentral:siRNA from 1 species
GGUGUAUAUAUUGAUGAAUACACG